rnacentral:rRNA from 1 species
CCCUUAGAUGUUCUGGGCCGCACACGCGCUACACUGAAGGAGGCAGCGUGUACUCCUGGAUCGAAAGAUUUGGGUAACCCGCGAAUCUCCUUCGUGCUAGGGAUUGGGGUUUGCAAUUAUCCUUCAUGAACGAGGAAUUCCCAGUAAGUGCAAGUCAUAAGCUUGCGCUGACUACGUCCCUGCCCUUUGUACACACCGCCCGUCGCUACUACCGAUUGAAUGAUUUAGUGAGGACUUCGGACUGGGACCGAUGCGGCUUUCGGGCUGCGUCGGUAUUCUGGAAAGAUGUCCAAACUGUAUCACUUAGAGGAAGUAAAAGUCGUANCA